GCGGCCCCCAGGUCGCCUGCAUCACCAUAGGGCGAAAGACCCAUUUCAUAGGUGUACUCCUGGGCCCACCCGGACCAACCGAAUCGGAAAUCCAGGGGUGAACCUUAGGGGAUUGUCUUACUUUUAAGAGUAUGAGGGCAGGUCGAAAACCCGCUCCCUAGUUCUGACGCAAGAGCCCUAUACUGGAAUUCCCCACCCCUGCCCAGCCCAGAGAUGGGAGAAAAUGGUGAGUGUAGGUAUACGACAUGCUCUGGAAAGUCCAAGUCUCUGCCUGUCUUCUUGUUCCCAUUCAUGUCAACUGAAUGAGAUACAUUCAUUUUUGUCUAUAUGAAAGGGUUCAUCUGCUGACAGACUGCUGUACAUUCAGAAACAAGCCACUGCAAGAACAAUGAGGCUCCCUGCCAAUCAAGAUUUCUGAAAUUUCAUACUAUGAAAAGAAAAGUUCCAGCUGACUAGCAGAACGCACAGGAGAAACUCAAUAAACAUUUCUUGAUGGAAUGAAGGUAAGAAUUUGGCAAGACAGGAAGAGAGGCCUAAAGUACGGAAGAGGAGAGGAUUGGAGAGGGAAGAAAGAAGGGAAGAGAGGGCAAGUAAGGGUCUGAGAGGGAAGGUCAGAAGUAAGGCAAAUUGCUGACCUGUCAGUUACUUCCAGAAGCUGUCUGUCCUUGAAAUAGCCGAGGGUAGAUCAGAAAGUGUAAUACAGUAAUUGAAGGUUUUGCAUUUCAGACUUGGCUUUAAAGUCUUUUAAAUUAGCUUUGUAAUUUGUAAAUUACUCAGCUUUGUAAUCUUGGGCAAAUUCUCUUAUCCUCCCUUUCUUUUUCUGUAAAAUGGAUGUGAAUAUUGAAUGAAAUUAUACCUGCACCGGCGCUUGGACGGUCGCCACUCAAGGUUAAAGUCGACUGUCGUUAUUUACUAAUAUUGUAACUAUUUGCUCUAGGCUGCCCGCCCUCCUGCUUCACUCGCCGCUCUCUCGCUGGUUGAGACAGCCCAGCGCUGCCACCAAUCGGCUUGGUCCGAGGGGGAGCAGCCGAAAGGGCAGAACCAAUGGGCGCAGGGGUCAAGAGAACCUAAACAGUGGCGGCGUCCCGUGUGGAAGCUGGGGGCAGUCCCGGGCCUCCGAGUAACAGACUCUCGCGGCCCCUGGCCGGGGUAGGUGCAAGUAUUCCCCAAGAAGAAUGUUCAUUUUGUCAAGGACAGCACUAUUUGCCACCCUUGUGGGAAUUUCAUAGUACUUAUUAAUACUGAAAUCAAGAAAAAGACUACUCCAGUGUAUGAAUGGAAUUGUGGGCAUCCUGGCAACUAAUGUUCCUUAUGAAGUUGUCGCUUUUUCUGACCAGCAGCUCUGAUCCCUCAUCUACAUAUACAGCUUCCUCUGAAAUGACCAGAAAGAUCAAUUUAAAAGGUAUCUUGCAAGACUGUUCCUUUACCAUGACCAAAGGAUUAUAUUAAAGAUGUGACCAAAUCUAGUUCUUACAAAUGUAGGGUUUUGGGGUUUUUUUGACUGGUUGGGUUUUUUUUUUUUUUUUGUAAUAAGCAUUUUUAAGGACCAAUCAGGCUGAUCACAUAGGCUUUAAUUAAGUAGGCUGGAGCCUUGCUACUCAAAGUGUGGUCUGCUCACAGUCAACAUUGUAUCACUGAAGAUGGCCGAAACUCUGCUCCCAUCACAGACCUAUGAAUCAGAAUCUGCAUUUUAACAGUAUUUCCCCAGUUGAUUCAUAUGCACUUUAAACUUGAGAAGCACUGGACUAGAACACUACUAGAGAACUAACUGCUGUUUAAAAACCUUUUUAAGAACAGGUUUUUUUUUUCCUUUCCUGAUGAUUUAUUGAAAAUCUGGCUGAAGAGAUGUGUAUAACUUCUAAAGAUAAGUCUCUGAGCCUCAAUUUCCUUUUCUAUGAUAAAGAUAAUGGUAUCUACUGUCAAGACUGUGCUGAAAAAAUUGAAAUUAUAUAUAUAACAUAUAACCUUAUAUGUUAUAUAUAUAAUUAA